UGGACUCUCGAAGUUUCUAUCGAUAGUCACUCCGCCAUAUUGCUUGUCAGUUGAACAUCUGCAGACCUCAAGAACAGCAGUGAAAUUUAACUCUUGCCUUCGUGUAAAAUUAUUUGGAAUAGCAGUAUGAUAGUCUUUGAAUUUAUUGGACUCUCUGCACAGUUUAGUUUAUGUAACACACGUAAAGUUAUAUAUGUGUAUAAUGUAGAUUACAUCUGCAUUUUUGUUAUCAAUUAUUAAUCAAUUGUUUUAUCCGGUUUCAGUCGUUAGUAGAUAGGUAACUACGCAAAUAGUGGUUUGUGAGUGAAAACAGUGUUAAUUUUCUAAAGAAAAAACAUUUGACAAGUGUAAUAAGAAGACAUUCACCAAUCUUCAGUACAUCUUAACCAGCAUUGUUGGCGAUAAGCCUCUUGCACUGGAAGGAAACCUAUACUCGAUGGCCAGGUGUUCAUGCAGUAUGCAACUGUCAGACUUUAUACUGGCCCAUGUAUCGGAGUCAUCAGGCAAUUUGGAGAACAAAUGGUGGUGUUCCGGGUGAGAAUCGAACCGAGAGUCUCCCAAAUACAAGUUUAGAACAUUACCACUACACCAAAGUGCUCAGUGUCCGAGCCGAGAUUCGAAUCGCGUAUCUACGAAAUACAAGAUAGAAGAAUUACCAUUUGGGAGAACUUGACCCGUAACCGGAUGAUUGACACUCCCCAAACGCCCAGUACGCCCGCGGCCAUGUGGACCAGUCAUCAUCUAUGCUGGACAAGGAAAGAAGAUGACAUUAAAUCAGAAUUGUAAUCAUAAAAUCCUGUCAUUGGAUGAGCAACACACCUUUCUCCCUCCACAAUAGAGAUUUAAAUUUAUCAAUACUUAAACAGUUACAAUCCUUUGAAAAUGUUUGC